rnacentral:rRNA from 1 species
GACGUAGGGCGCAAGCGUUGUCCGGAUUUAUUGGGCGUAAAGAGCUCGUAGGCGGCUCGUUGCGUCGGCUGUGAAAACCCGCAGCUUAACUGUGGGCCUGCAGCCGAUACGGGCGGGCUGGAGUUCGGUAGGGGAGACUGGAAUUCCUGGUGUAGCGGUGAAAUGCGCAGAUAUCAGGAAGAACACCCGUGGCGAAGGCGGCUCUCUGGAACGCAACUGACGCUGAGACGCGAAAGCGUGGGGAGCAAACAGG